rnacentral:rRNA from 1 species
UUAAUUCGAUGCAACGCGAAAACCUUACUACCCUUGACAUGUCCGGAAUCCUGCAGAGAUGCGGGAGUGCCGAAAGGGAAUCGGAACACAGGUGCUGCAUGGCUGUCGUCAGCUCGUGUCGUGAGAUGUUGGGUUAAGUCCCGCAACGAGCGCAACCCUUAUCAUUAGUUGCUACGCAAGGGCACUCUAAUGAGACUGCCGGUGACAAACCGGAGGAAGGUGGGGAUGACGUCAAGUCCUCAUGGCCCUUAUGGGUAGGGCUUCACACGUCAUACAAUGGUCGGUACAGAGGGUUGCCAAGCCGCGAGGUGGAGCCAAUCCCAGAAAGCCGAUCGUAGUCCGGAUUGUUCUCUGCAACUCGAGAGCAUGAAGUCGGAAUCGCUAGUAAUCGCGGAUCAGCAUGUCGCGGUGAAUACGUUCCCGGGUCUU